rnacentral:rRNA from 1 species
UACAGAGGGGGCAAGCGUUAUUCGGAAUUAUUGGGCGUAAAGGGCGCGUAGGCGGCUUGGCAAGUGGAAGGUGAAAUCCCUCGGCUUAACCGAGGAACUGCCCUCCAAACUGCUUGGCUUGAGACCGGGAGAGGUGAGUGGAAUUCCCAGUGUAGCGGUGAAAUGCGUAGAUAUUGGGAGGAACACCGGUGGCGAAGGCGGCUGCCUGGACCGAUACUGACGCUGAGACGCGAAAGCGUGGGGAGCAAACAGG